UGUGUGUGUGUGUGUGUGGGCGUGUGCGUGUGCGUGGAUACACACACACACACACACACACACACACACACACACAUACAUACACAUAUAUAU
rnacentral:miRNA from 1 species